UAAUAAGAAAUAAAAAUUUAUAAUUAGUUUCGACCUAAUAUUUGAUAAUUUAAAUAUUAUCCUUAUUAU
rnacentral:tRNA from 1 species